AUGGUGCUACAGCUGGGAGACAGUGGAAUGUACCGUUUUAGAACAGAGUCACAGGAAACGGACUGGUUCCAACUGGAAGUUAUUGAACCACUGCCUGCUCCAGAAAUCGUGGGCAACUCCUCUGUGAAAGCAGGAGGCAACACUAAACUGGUCUGCAACAUCUCAGAAGGGAAGGCAGACUCCUACUGGUGGAAGAAGAAUGGGGAGCUGCUGCUUGGGAGUGACCAUUUCCAGUUUGUUCAUAACAACACGUUGCAUAUCAUUGAAGCGACAAUGAACGACAGCGGCUACUAUGCUUGUGUGGUCCGCAACAAAGUGAGCCAGAAUGAAACCUCCUUCCUGCUUCAUGUUCAGAACGCGGCAAACAUGGUCUUACCUGUGGUGAUGGCAUGCGUUAUCGUUGGCUCUCUAAUAGGUGUUUUCGUCUGGUGUAGGAGGAGGGGCCGCUUCCGUCACCGUGUCUGUAGCGCAUCAGAAGUUUCCAGAAAGUGGAGGGCCUGA
rnacentral:lncRNA from 1 species